UUCUGGGAGGAUUGAUAGAUUGAGAGCUCUUUUUGAUUCGGCGGAUGGUGAGGCAUGGCCGUUCUUAGUUGGUAGAGCGAUUUGUCCGGUUAAUUCCGAUAACGAACGAGACUCUAGCCUAUUAAAUAGGUGCGUGGUUUACUGCACCUUGCACCCUUCUUAGAGGGACAAGUGGCUUCUAGCCGCACGAAACAGAGCUAUAACAGGUCUGUGAUGCCCUUAGAU
rnacentral:rRNA from 1 species